GCAGUAAAUGUGGAGCCGUAGCGAAAGCGAGUCUGAAUAGGGCGUUUAGUAUUUGGUCGUAGACCCGAAACCAGGUGAUCUACCCUUGGUCAGGUUGAAGUUCAGGUAACACUGAAUGGAGGACCGAACCGACUUACGUUGAAAAGUGAGCGGAUGAACUGAGGGUAGCGGAGAAAUUCCAAUCGAACCUGGAGAUAGCUGGUUCUCUCCGAAAUAGCUUUAGGGCUAGCCUCAAGUGAUGAUUAUUGGAGGUAGAGCACUGUUUGGACGAGGGGCCCCUCUCGGGUUACCGAAUUCAGACAAACUCCGAAUGCCAAUUAAUUUAACUUGGGAGUCAGAACAUGGGUGAUAAGGUCCGUGUUCGAAAGGGAAACAGCCCAGACCACCAGCUAAGGUCCCAAAAUAUAUGUUAAGUGGAAAAGGAUGUGGCGUUGCCCAGACAACUAGGAUGUUGGCUUAGAAGCAGCCAUCAUUUAAAGAGUGCGUAAUAGCUCACUAGUCGAGUGACACUGCGCCGAAAAUGUACCGGGGCUAAACAUAUUACCGAAGCUGUGGAUUGUCCUUUGGACAAUGGUAGGAGAGCGUUCUAAGGGCGUUGAAGCAUGAUCGUAAGGACAUGUGGAGCGCUUAGAAGUGAGAAUGCCGGUGUGAGUAGCGAAAGACGGGUGAGAAUCCCGUCCACCGAUUGACUAAGGUUUCCAGAGGAAGGCUCGUCCGCUCUGGGUUAGUCGGGUCCUAAGCUGAGGCCGACAGGCGUAGGCGAUGGAUAACAGGUUGAUAUUCCUGUACCACCUAUAAUCGUUUUAAUCGAUGGGGGGACGCAGUAGGAUAGGCGAAGCGUGCGAUUGGAUUGCACGUCUAAGCAGUAAGGCUGAGUAUUAGGCAAAUCCGGUACUCGUUAAGGCUGAGCUGUGAUGGGGAGAAGACAUUGAGUCUUCGAGUCGUUGAUUUCACACUGCCGAGAAAAGCCUCUAGAUAGAAAAUAGGUGCCCGUACCGCAAACCGACACAGGUAGUCAAGAUGAGAAUUCUAAGGUGAGCGAGCGAACUCUCGUUAAGGAACUCGGCAAAAUGACCCCGUAACUUCGGGAGAAGGGGUGCUCUUUAGGGUUAACGCCCAGAAGAGCCGCAGUGAAUAGGCCCAAGCGACUGUUUAUCAAAAACACAGGUCUCUGCUAAACCGUAAGGUGAUGUAUAGGGGCUGACGCCUGCCCGGUGCUGGAAGGUUAAGAGGAGUGGUUAGCUUCUGCGAAGCUACGAAUCGAAGCCCCAGUAAACGGCGGCCGUAACUAUAACGGUCCUAAGGUAGCGAAAUUCCUUGUCGGGUAAGUUCCGACCCGCACGAAAGGCGUAACGAUUUGGGCACUGUCUCAACGAGAGACUCGGUGAAAUCAUAGUACCUGUGAAGAUGCAGGUUACCCGCGACAGGACGGAAAGACCCCGUGGAGCUUUACUGUAGCCUGAUAUUGAAAUUCGGCACAGCUUGUACAGGAUAGGUAGGAGCCUUUGAAACGUGAGCGCUAGCUUACGUGGAGGCGCUGGUGGGAUACUACCCUAGCUGUGUUGGCUUUCUAACCCGCACCACUUAUCGUGGUGGGAGACAGUGUCA
rnacentral:rRNA from 1 species